rnacentral:rRNA from 1 species
GAUGAACGCUGGCGGCGUGCUUAACACAUGCAAGUCGAGCGAGAAGUUUUGAAAAGAUUCUUCGGAUGAAAUUUAAAAUGGAAAGCGGCGGACGGGUGAGUAACGCGUAGGCAACCUGCCCCAUACAAAGGGAUAGCAUUUGGAAACGAAUAUUAAUACCUUAUGAAACUUAACUAGUGCAUGCUAGGUAGGUCAAAGAUUUAUCGGUAUGGGAUGGGCCUGCGUCUGAUUAGCUAGUUGGUGAGGUAACGGCUCACCAAGGCGACGAUCAGUAGCCGACCUGAGAGGGUGAACGGCCACAUGGGAACUGAGACACGGUCCAAACUCCUACGGGAGGCAGCAGUGGGGAAUAUUGCACAAUGGGGGAAACCCUGAUGCAGCAACGCCGCGUGAACGAUGAAGGCCUUUGGGUCGUAAAGUUCUGUUCUAGGUGAUGAAAACUGACAGUAACCUAGGAGAAAGCCCCGGCUAACUCCGUG